CGACCGGGUGAGUAACACGUGACUAACCUACCCUAAAGUGGGGAAUAACCUCGGGAAACCGGGGCUAAUACCGCAUAACAUUGCGCGGCUGAAAGGCCAUGCAUUCAAAGGAGCAAUUCGCUUUAGGAGGGGGUCGCGGUUGAUUAGCUAGUUGGUGAGGUAACGGCUCACCAAGGCGAUGAUCAAUAGCCGGCCUGAGAGGGCGCACGGCCACACUGGAACUGAAACACGGUCCAG
rnacentral:rRNA from 1 species